GACGAACGCUGGCGGCGUGCUUAACACAUGCAAGUCGAACGGAAAGGCCCUGCUUUUGUGUGGUGCUCGAGUGGCGAACGGGUGAGUAACACGUGAGUAACCUGCCCUUGACUUUGGGAUAACUUCAGGAAACUGGGGCUACUACCGGAUCGGAGCUCCUGCUGCAUGGUGGGGGUUGGAAAGUUUCGGCGGUUGGGGAUGGACUCGCGGCUUAUCAGCUUGUUGGUGGGGUAGUGGCGUACCCAGGCUUUGAUGGGUAGCCGGCCUGGGAGGGGGACCGGCGACAAGAGGACUGAGAGACGGCCCAGACUCCUACGGGAGGCAGCAGUGGGGAAUAUUGCACAAUGGGCGGAAGCCUGAGGCGGCAACGCCGCGUGCGGGAUGACGGCCUUCGGGUUGUGAACCGCUUUCGCCUGUGACGAAGCGUGAGUGACGGUAAUGGGUGAAGAAGCACCGGCUAACUACGUG
rnacentral:rRNA from 1 species